rnacentral:rRNA from 1 species
CUACGGGUCGCUGCAGUGGGGAAUAUUGCACAAUGGGCGCAAGCCUGAUGCAGCCAUGCCGCGUGUAUGAAGAAGGCCUUCGGGUUGUAAAGUACUUUCAGCGGGGAGGAAGGGAGUAAAGUUAAUACCUUUGCUCAUUGACGUUACCCGCAGAAGAAGCACCGGCUAACUCCGUGCCAGCAGCCGCGGUAAUACGGAGGGUGCAAGCGUUAAUCGGAAUUACUGGGCGUAAAGCGCACGCAGGCGGUUUGUUAAGUCAGAUGUGAAAUCCCCGGGCUCAACCUGGGAACUGCAUCUGAUACUGGCAAGCUUGAGUCUCGUAGAGGGGGGUAGAAUUCCGGGUGUAGCGGUGAAAUGCGUAGAGAUCUGGAGGAAUACCGGUGGCGAAGGCGGCCCCCUGGACGAAGACUGACGCUCAGGUGCGAAAGCGUGGGGAGCAAUCAGGAUUAGAUACCCUUGUAGUC